rnacentral:tRNA from 1 species
UCGGAAGGUGCGGCUGGAUCACUCCUUUCUAAGGAGAAUUGCCUACUGUUUAAUUUUGAAAGUUCUUUACGAACUUUAUAUAUGGGGGUGUAGCUCAGUUGGGAGAGCACUUGCCUUGCAAGCAAGGGGUCAGGAGUUCGACUCUCCUCAUCUCCACCAUUUAAGAGUAUAUUACUUAAAUCUUUGAUUUACUUAGUAGCCUCUUACAAUGCACUUAUAGCUUAAAUUUAUACAGGCUUUGUGCGUUAGCACUUUAAGCAACGGGAUUUAUCCGUUGGCGCUGUGCGUUAGCACUUUGAAAACUGCAUAUAUAUAUUUAGUGAUAUGACAUCUAAUUUGUAAUAUAUAAAGCUGAUAACUUUUUAAAAUUAUCGAAGUUGAUAGCUUCUAAUCUAUCAAACCUUUUUAACU